GACGAACGCUGGCGGCGUGCUUAACACAUGCAAGUCGAACGGAAAGGCCUUUUCGGAGGUACUCGAGUGGCGAACGGGUGAGUAACACGUGGGUGAUCUGCCCUGCACUCUGGGAUAAGCCUGGGAAACUGGGUCUAAUACCGGAUAGGACCGCACUUUAGUGUGUGUGGUGGAGAGUUUUUUCGGUGUAGGAUGAGCCCGCGGCCUAUCAGCUUGUUGGUGGGGUAAUGGCCUACCAAGGCGGCGACGGGUAGCCGGACUGAGAGGUUGGUCGGCCACAUUGGGACUGAGAUACGGCCCAGACUCCUACGGGAGGCAGCAGUGGGGAAUAUUGCACAAUGGGCGCAAGCCUGAUGCAGCGACGCCGCGUGGGGGACGACGGCCUUCGGGUUGUAAACUCCUUUCGCCAGGGACGAAGCGUUUUGUGACGGUACCUGGAGAAGAAGCACCGGCUAACUACGUG
rnacentral:rRNA from 1 species